rnacentral:rRNA from 1 species
GAUGAACGCUGGCGGCGUGCCUAACACAUGCAAGUCGAGCGAUUCCCUUCGGAGAAGAGCGGCGGACGGGUGAGUAACGCGUGGGUAACCUGCCCUGUACACACGGAUAACAUACCGAAAGGUAUGCUAAUACGAGAUAAUAUGCUUUUAUCGCAUGGUAGAAGUAUCAAAGCUUUUGCGGUACAGGAUGGACCCGCGUCUGAUUAGCUAGUUGGUAAGGUAACGGCUUACCAAGGCGACGAUCAGUAGCCGACCUGAGAGGGUGAUCGGCCACAUUGGAACUGAGACACGGUCCAAACUCCUACGGGAGGCAGCAGUGGGGAAUAUUGCACAAUGGGCGAAAGCCUGAUGCAGCAACGCCGCGUGAGCGAUGAAGGCCUUCGGGUCGUAAAGCUCUGUCCUCAAGGAAGAUAAUGACGGUAACCGGAGAAGAAGCCCCGGCUAACUUCGUGCCAGCCGCCGCGGUAA